UAAUAAGUGUUUUAUGGCACUUUUUAAAUCCAUAUCCACCUUGUGUGCAAUGUCAGUCGAUCUUCUUCAUGGAGAUCGACCAAACAUCAACCUUUAUUUUUUAACUCUCUUGUCUGAAAAAUAUUAUGAAUAAACAAUUCAAAAUA
rnacentral:misc_RNA from 1 species